GAAAGUAAUGAAGGGCGUACGGUGGAUGCCUAGGCUCUUACAGGCGAUGAAGGACGUGAUAAGCUGCGAAAAGCCGCGGUGAGGCGCAAAUGGCCCUUGACCCGCGGAUCUCCGAAUGGGACAACCCAAUAUCUUGAAGAGAUAUUAUCCCGCCGAUGCGGGAGGCGAACGCGGGGAACUGAAACAUCUUAGUACCCGCAGGAAAAGAAAAUAAAGAAUGAUUCCCCCAGUAGUGGCGAGCGACCGGGGAAGAGCCCAAACCGACGUUGUCUCGGCAUCGUCGGGGUUGUAGGACCGCGCCAUCGCAAGAAAGGCCGUGAGUGGAAGCGACUGGAAAGCCGCGCCAUAGAGGGUGACAGCCCCUUACACGAAGCAGCCCGAAGCGUAGCGGACUCCUGAGUAGCGCGGGACACGAGUAAUCCUGUGUGAAUCCGCCGGGCCCAUCCGGCAAGGCUAAAUACUCGUAAGAGACCGAUAGUGAACCAGUACCGUGAGGGAAAGGUGAAAAGUACCCCUUGCAGGGGAGUGAAAGAGUUCCUGAAACCGUACGCCUACAAGCGGUCGGAGCAUCUUGAAUGAUGUGACGGCGUGCCUUUUGCAUAAUGAACCUACGAGUUGCCGUCACCAGCGAGGUUAAGUGCGAUGACGCACCGAGCCGCAGCGGAAGCGAGUCUUAAAAUGGCGCGAUAGUUGGUGGAGGCAGACGCGAAACCGAGUGAUCUACACUUGUCCAGGAUGAAGUCCCGGUAACACGGGAUGGAGGUCCGCACCAAUAAGCGUUGAAAAGCUUCUGGAUGAGGUGAGUGUAGGAGUGAAAGGCCAAUCAAACUCGGAGAUAGCUCGUACUCCCCGAAAGGCAUUUAGGUGCCGCCUGUGGCGUUCCCGACGUGAGGUAGAGCGACUGAUAGGAUGCGAGGGCUUCACCGCCUAUCAAGUCCUGACAAACUCCGAAUGCACGUCGGCCAAGCCAUGGAGUAAGGGCAUGGGUGCUAAGGUCCGUGCCCGAGAGGAGAAGAAUCCAGACCACCGGCUAAGGUCCCGAAAUACUGGUUAAGUUAGACUAACGCAGUCCGGCCCCCAAGACAGCUAGGAUGUUGGCUUGGAAGCAGCCAUUCAUUCAAAGAGUGCGUAACAGCUCACUAGUCGAGGAGCUGGGCGUGGAUAAUAAUCGGGUAUGAAACCAGUUACCGAAGCCGUGGGAUGCUUAAGCAUCGGUAGGGGAGCAUUGCAUGCGGCUUAGAAGGCGGGGCGCGAGCCCCUCUGGAGCGCAUGGAAACGCAAAUGUAGGUAUAAGUAACGACAAGGGGGGUGGGAUGCCCCCCCGCCGAAAGACCAAGGUUUCCUGAACAACGCUAAUCGGUUCAGGGUCAGUCGGGUCCUAAGCAUAAGCCGUAUGGCGAGGGCGAUGGACGAAACGGUUAAUAUUCCGUUACUGUCUUGGUGUGUGACGCGGCGACGGAGUAGUGACACGGCCGCCUCCUGACGGAAAAGGGGGUUGAAGCGCAAAGGUGUCGAGGAAGGCAGGCAAAUCCACCUUCCGAGCCGAAGCGCGAAAGUACGCCGGGCCCUUUGGGGCAAGGCGAUAGUGCCGGUAAUCAGACUUCCAAGAAAACCCGCUAAACUUCAGCACCAAGUCACCCGUACUCUAAACGGACACACGUGGUCGGGUAGAAUAUACUAAGGCGCUUGGGAGAUUCACGGUUAAGGAACUAGGCAAAUUGACCCCGUACCUUCGGAAUAAGGGGUCCUCGCUUUUGCGAGGCGCAGAGAAUAGGUCCAGGCAACUGUUUAACAAAAACACAGGGCUGUGCAAAUUUGAAAGAAGAAGUAUACAGCCUGACACCUGCCCGGUGCCGGAAGGUUAAGAGGAGAGCUCAUCAGCGAUGAGAAGGCUUGAAUUGAAGCCCCGGUAAACGGCGGCCGUAACUAUAACGGUCCUAAGGUAGCGAAAUUCCUUGUCGGGUAAGUUC
rnacentral:rRNA from 1 species